GACGAACGCUGGCGGCGUGCCUAAUACAUGCAAGUUGAGCGCUGAAGGUUGGUACUUGUACCAACUGGAUGAGCAGCGAACGGGUGAGUAACGCGUGGGGAAUCUGCCUUUGAGCGGGGGACAACAUUUGGAAACGAAUGCUAAUACCACAUAAAAACUUUAAACACAAGUUUUAAGUUUGAAAGAUGCAAUUGCAUCACUCAAAGAUGAUCCCGCGUUGUAUUAGCUAGUUGGUGAGGUAAAGGCUCACCAAGGCGAUGAUACAUAGCCGACCUGGGAGGGUGAUCGGCCACAUUGGGACUGAGACACGGCCCAAACUCCUACGGGAGGCAGCAGUAGGGAAUCUUCGGCAAUGGACGAAAGUCUGACCGAGCAACGCCGCGUGAGUGAAGAAGGUUUUCGGAUCGUAAAACUCUGUUGGUAGAGAAGAACGUUGGUGAGAGUGGAAAGCUCAUCAAGUGACGGUAACUACCCAGAAAGGGACGGCUAACUACGUG
rnacentral:rRNA from 1 species